rnacentral:rRNA from 1 species
GACGAACCGUGCGAACGUUGUUCGGAAUCACUGGGCUUAAAGGGUGCGUAGGCGGGCUCGAAAGUCAGGGGUGAAAGCCCACGGCUCAACCGUGGAAGUGCCUUUGAUACUGCGAGUCUCGAGGGAGGUAGGGGCGUGCGGAACUUCCGGUGGAGCGGUGAAAUGCGUAGAUAUCGGAAGGAACACCGGUGGCGAAAGCGGCGCGCUGGACCUCGAACUGACGCUGAGGCACGAAAGCCAGGGGCAGCAAACGGGG